rnacentral:rRNA from 1 species
CCUACGGGUGGCUGCAGUCGAGGAUCUUCGGCAAUGGGCGCAAGCCUGACCGAGCGACGCCGCGUGUGCGAUGAAGGCCUUCGGGUUGUAAAGCACUGUCGGGGGGGAGAAACGGGCGCAAGCCCCUGAUCGACCCCCGGAGGAAGCACGGGCUAAGUUCGUGCCAGCAGCCGCGGUAAGACGAACCGUGCGAACGUUGUUCGGAAUCACUGGGCUUAAAGGGCGCGUAGGCGGGCCGGCAGGUCAGGGGUGAAAGCCCGCGGCUCAACCGCGGA